rnacentral:rRNA from 1 species
CAAGUCGAACGGUCCGCUUCGGCGGAUAGUGGCGCACGGGUGCGUAACACGUAUACAACCUACCUUACAUUGGGGGAUAGCCUUUCGAAAGGGAGAUUAAUACCGCAUAAGACAGUAGCUGGGCAUCCAGUAGCUGUUAAAGAUUUAUCGAUGUAAGCUGGGCAUGCGUCCAAUUAGUUAGUUGGUGAGGUAACGGCUCACCAAGACGAUGAUUGGUAGGGGAACUGAGAGGUCAAUCCCCCACACUGGCACUGAGAUACGGGCCAGACUCCUACGGGAGGCAGCAGUAGGGAAUAUUGGGCAAUGGACGCAAGUCUGACCCAGCCAUGCCGCGUGCAGGAAGAAGGCGUUCUGCGUUGUAAACUGCUUUUAUAUAGGAAGAAACGACCCUUGCGAGGGGCAUUGACGGUAUUAUAUGAAUAAGCACCGGCUAACUCCGUGCCAGCAGCCGCGGUAAUACGGAGGGUGUAAGCGUUGUCCGGAUUUAUUGGGUUUAAAGGGUGCGCAGGUGGUUUAUUAAGUCAGUGGUGAAAGACGGUCGCUCAACGAUUGCAGUGCCAUUGAUACUGAUAGACUUGAGUAAAGUAGAGGUGGGCGGAAUUGAUAGUGUAGCGGUGAAAUGCAUAGAUAUUAUCAAGAACUCCGAUUGCGAAGGCAGCUCACUUGGCUUUUACUGACACUCAUGCACGAAAGUGUGGGUAUCAAACAGGAUUAGAUACCCUGGUAGUCCACACUGUAAACGAUGAUAACUAGGUGUUGGCCGAAUCUGGUCAGUGCCACAGCGAAAGCGUUAAGUUAUCCACCUGGGGAGUACGCCGGCAACGGUGAAACUCAAAGGAAUUGACGGG